rnacentral:rRNA from 1 species
AAUUCAGGAGUUGAUCAUGGUUCAGAACGAACGCUGGCGGCAAGCUUAACACAUGCAAGUCGAACGGACCGUACACGCAGCUUGCUGCGUGUAUGGUUAGUGGCAGACGGGUGAGUAAUGCAUAGGAAUCUGCCUAGUAGUAUAGGAUAGCCACUAGAAAUGGUGGGUAAUACUGUAUAAUCCCUGCGGGGGAAAGAUUUAUCGCUACUAGAUGAGCCUAUGUCAGAUUAGCUAGUUGGUGGGGUAAUGGCCCACCAAGGCUGUGAUCUGUAGCUGGUCUGAGAGGAUGAUCAGCCACACUGGAACUGAGACACGGUCCAGACUCCUACGGGAGGCAGCAGUGGGGAAUAUUGGACAAUGGGCGCAAGCCUGAUCCAGCUAUGCCGCGUGAGUGAGGAUAGCCUUAGGGUUGUAAAACUCUUUCAGUAGAGUUAGAUAA